UUCUCUCGCGAGCCUGGAGGGGCCUGGCAGCCCAGUUGCCCCGCCUCCUGAGGCCUUGGGUAGGGCUACUUGUGAACGCCUUUGCUACCUGAACUGUGUGAGCACUCUUUGAUGCAUCUCCCCCAACCUCUAUGGAUGCAAACCCACUGAUGAGAGGCUGGCUGCAUCAUCAUCUACACUUGACAGAGACGGAGGGAACUGAAGAUGCUGGCUGCCAGGUGGAGGAUCCACAGUUGAGGAAGAAGUCCAUGUGGAGCUAAAGCCUAAUACUGGAAAUUCACUCACUAAGGAAAAACAAUGGAAGUCUGGAGUGUGGGAAGGAAGACAGGAGCAGCAGUUGGAGGAUAAACUGAGGCACAACUGGUGAUUGCAGGGAGAGUGGCCUAAAUCCACUCAGAUAAAUCUCUCUUCCAGAAAGGGAGGCAGAAGAGAAAUCACACAGCACCUUAAGGCCUUGAAAAUUGCUGGUUCAUGAACAAACUACAAGAUGGACAACAUCUCCCUAGAGCUUCAUGUCAACAGAAGUGAGGCUUUUGGAAUGUGAUUGGAUCAUGGGGUGCUACGUUCAUCAGAACUGAAAGUACAUUAGAAGGUUUGUUUGCUGUUCAGGCACCUCUCAAGUGAACAUUCUCUGAAGACUGCUCAGGCUCCACAAGGCCACAGGAAGCAAAGGAUCCCCAAGGCAGCCACUGCAGUGGUGGGUGUGGGAGGAGGGUUGCAAAUGACACCAGGAAAUUGGAAGCGCUACUUCUUUUAGAUGCUUAUUCUCAGUAGAUGCCACCUCUGAAGGGAACUGUAAUCCAGCCCAACUAAAAAUAGACUCCACAAUCAUUCCGUUUGGUUCCUGUCUCUCUGAAACACUGGUCUUUUUUGUUUCUCUGCCUUACAUCUGCAUGGCCUGGCAGCCUUGGACAGCACUCCUAGCCAUACAUAGAAGGGACCAACAUGUACAGGGACUGCUUAAUUCACAUUUCUCAGGCCCCACAAGAAGGGGCAUGAUGACACCUCUCACCCAUGGCGAUGGUGGCUGCUAUCAAAACACCAGAUAUGUACAACAGAGGGAGAGCCUGCAGAGAAAAUGGGACCCUGGUGCACUGUGGUGGGAUUGUAAAAUAGUGCAAUGGUUGCACUUGCUUUGAAUGAGCAUGAAUGAGGCUGUCAUGGACUGAAUCGUGUUCCCCUAGAUUCAUAUAUUGCAGCACAAACCUCUAAUGUGAUUGUAUGUGAUGCUUAAGGAGAUUAUUAAUGAAUGGGAUCACAGUGACCCUAAUCUAGUAGUAUUAUAGGCAGCUAAAUUAGAUAGAAAUUAAUAUAUAGUCAGAGAGACUAGGCUGUUAAGGAAGUCAGCAAAAAAAAAAUAAAGACGUUAGAAUUGUGACUGGAGGUGCAGCCAAAGAAUGCCAGGCCUCAAGAUAAAGAUGCAAUAGCCAGGCCUACAUGUUUCCCCGAAGGGAUAAGCAGUAACUUGGAAUUAUACUAUAGUUGGUAUACUAUAGUUGGUCCAGUAAAAGUACAGAUAAACAUCAGUUGGUCAGGUGGGUGAUAAGAGUAUCUGGACCCAUCCUUUCCCAAAAUGCCUUUGUUUUUUCCAUGUACUCUUGCAAUGUAACCUGCUUCUCUAUUGGAGCAAUAUUAGCUAAGCAUCUAUACUUGAAAUCCUAUGGGUUGAUAAUAAUUUGACCCAUGUUGUACCCACACUGUGUCUUUGCUGUAUACAUUACCCCUGACAAAGCGCCUACCUCUUUCUGGUCCCUUCCUGUCUCUCAGGAGCUAUAUCUCUCAAUAAAAUUUUCAUAUUCUUAAUCUCUGUUGUUCAUUCUUUGAUUUCAGGGAACACAAACUCCGUGUACCUGAAAUCUAGCAGAUGGGAAUUAUACUUUUCCCCCUAAAUUGAUAGGAAUGGCUAAAAAA